rnacentral:tRNA from 1 species
UAGGGAGUGGACUCAGGUAGAGUGCAUGCCUUACAUGCAUGAAGUCCUGGGUCCAAUCCCAGCCUUUUAG